UACGUAGGGUGCAAGCGUUGUCCGGAAUUAUUGGGCGUAAAGAGCUCGUAGGCGGUUUGUCACGUCUGCUGUGAAAACUGGAGGCUCAACCUCCAACUUGCAGUGGGUACGGGCAGACUAGAGUGCGGUAGGGGAGAUUGGAAUUCCUGGUGUAGCGGUGGAAUGCGCAGAUAUCAGGAGGAACACCGAUGGCGAAGGCAGAUCUCUGGGCCGUAACUGACGCUGAGGAGCGAAAGCGUGGGGAGCGAACAGG
rnacentral:rRNA from 1 species